rnacentral:rRNA from 1 species
UACGUAGGGUGCGAGCGUUGUCCGGAAUUAUUGGGCGUAAAGGGCUCGUAGGCGGUUUGUCGCGUCGGGAGUGAAAACCCAGGGCUUAACUCUGGGCUUGCUUUCGAUACGGGCAGACUAGAGGUAUGCAGGGGAGAACGGAAUUCCUGGUGUAGCGGUGAAAUGCGCAGAUAUCAGGAGGAACACCAAUGGCGAAGGCGGGUCUCUGGGCCGA